AUUAACGCUAGCGGCAGGCAUACUACAUGCAAGUUGAACGGCAGCACAGGUAGCAAUACUGGGUGGCGAGUGGCGCACGGGUGCGUAACACGUAUGCAACCUACCCUAUACAGGCGAAUAACCUUUAGAAAUGAGGGCUAAUACGCCGUAGUAUUACAGAUGGGCAUCUAUUUGUAAUUAAAGAUUUAUCGGUAUAGGAUGGGCAUGCGUCCCAUUAGUUAGUUGGUAAGGUAACGGCUUAC
rnacentral:rRNA from 1 species